GUUUGAUUGCUUAACACUUUCAGAUCCACCAUGCAACAAAUUGAGAUCCGGAGAUUGGACUAUCUUGGUAGGGGCCUUAUCAUGUAUGGAGUCAGCAGACCCCAUUCGAUGGUGGUUCACCUUUCGGAUUUCCGACACCUCGGUGGCGGCCUUCGAUGAAUUAUGAAUAGUUUUAGGGAAAUUCCUCGGUGUAGCGGGCUCCGAUUUGCUUGCCUUUGGGAUCAGCAGAGAUGGAGCCCUA
rnacentral:misc_RNA from 1 species